ensembl:lncRNA
AAUGUGUUUUCAAUGAAAACUCUUAUGACCUUUAAAAAAUAACUUGAUUCUUCUGUGCGUUAUAGCAAGUCACCACUUUGCGCCUCAAAGUCCCUCCUGCAGGCCUUCAAGAAUACCAGCUAACGGCAUUUACGGGCCGCAAAGCAUGCUGGGGGAUCGACAGCCACGUGUCCGUCUGCCACCUGCACAGAAGCUUCCCUCAGACGAUGCUCGCUGCCCGGCAGGACGUUUGGCGGUUUCAGUGGUUUUAGUGGUGCAGCAGUCUGACAUCAUCAAGAAGUCUUUACAUUACGUUAUGAAUCUUAUAUGCAACUAUGAGAGAAACAUGAACAAAAUAUCGCUUAAAAUAUACUGUUCAUUGACCUGUGUCGUGAAUUAUAUUAAAACUAAUAUUAUUCCAGUGAUUACUGGGUUUAAAACAUGAAGGUCGAAAGGAAUCAACAUCUUUUUAAAAUUCCAAAUACACAUUUUUUGCUUUUGUCCAUUUCAUUCUAAAUCCAGCAGAAAUAUGGAAAUCUUUUUCUCUCAAAAUUAAAAAGUAGCCUUCAAAAAGUAGAGUUUUGUUAUAUAUUUUAAUAUAUAUAUAAAUAUAUUUAAGUAUGCUUUUGCUUAAAAACAACAACAACACAGGGGAUGCAGCCGUUGUCCAUCCUCGUUUGAUAACGGCACAUUCUCACAGCUUUAUUCCACUGUUACUCUUUUUCCCAUUUGCAGAGCUGCCCGGCUGUCGACCUGAUUCCAAACAGUGUGACUGCACUGCUAAGACUAAGACUGGGCCUCGCAACGAGCAAACCCAGCCUGAGCAUGUCCCCGCACCUCCCCGACUCCAUUACAACUUUCAUUCCCUCCAACCGGCGAGCGGAGGCAGAGCGACGCUCUGACGCUCACAAAGAUGUGUUGAAGCGUCACUUUGCAAACUUAGCUCAGGCCACCACGACAGGAGACGUAUUUUUUUGGGGGGGGGGGAUUUUUUUCUGUGUCGUCCUACUAAAAUGUAUAUUUGAUGUUGAGGUUAAUUAAGGGAAAUGUCCUGUAAUGAAAUGACAAUGUUGUCCUUUCAUUUGCCCUCGGCUUCGCAGACUUCGAGGCUUUUUAACUGAAAAACAGCCACGUUAUAACAGGAUGGUGUCCUAAAGUCAAGGAGACCUCGACAUGAGCACAAAGACGCGGUUUUAGUGACACAUCGUGUUGUGGAAGCCGCUUCGUUGCAUCACGUAAACUCGACCGGCGAGCCAAACAAGUCACAACACAACGAGACGCAACAUUCGGAGAAAAACGGCUGACAAUUACAUGGACCCCUGCAAGUCUUUUUAAAAGUCUCAGUGUGUGGUCGGCGUUAGCUGAGCGUCACCACUCCGCCGAGUGGAUUAGAGGAAUAUUUCCUCGAUUGUCCUGAUCAUUUCACACAGAAAGGUGGAAUUGCAGCACCAAAUCAGCACACAAUGCAACUGCACUCUCUCUCUCUCUGCCUCCAUGUUUCAGCAAACAGGUUAGUUACCAGAAAGGUACUCGCAGCGACUACAAGAGAUUUGUUGAACAGGGUCUCGUAUAAGAAACGGUGUGUAGUUGGAUUGUGUGCAAGGAGUGUGUUGCAGACGUGGAGACAAAGAGAUCUCGCUCUCAGAGCUGAUUCUCCAAAGUGGAGAAAACCUUGAACACGAUCAACAAAGCUCGUCCCAGAGGAGAAACCUGGAGCAUGUGAGGACGUGAAGUUCCAUUUUCUAUCCUUCCUCCGGAAACUGUCAAAGCAGCGUGCGCUGAAACAUCCAAUCGGCGGACCCGGACGUGGCCGCCGCGCCGUGCGUUGCCGAUGGCGCCCGGAGGCGAGUCGAUGGGCCGACCUUGAACGAUUCACCGAGGUUUUGGAACAAAGCCGCGAUAGGUCUGAGUCUCUGCACAGGUGUUCAUUAGCUUCAGGAGUAAAAGCAUCAGACUUAACCAAGAUGUGACCUUAUAACCCCAAGAAAUCUCUUUACAAGAACAACGGAAUAAAACUGUCAGUUGGAUACAAUACAAGGUUGACUUGAUGUGUUGCAAUAUUUAAUACGUGUGUAUUUAUUUUUCAUUUUCUGUUACCCUACAUAGCCAAUGGUUUAUGUUUUUUAUGUGUUUAUGUGCGUGACUUUUUAUUCUUUUUGUUUCCCCAUUUUCUUAUUGUUCAAACAUUGUUUUCCC